GUAUAAGAGACAGCAGUCGCCGCGGGAAUACAGAGGGUGCGAGCGUUAAUCGGAUUUACUGGGCGUAAAGCGUGCGUAGGCGGCUUCUUAAGUCGGAUGUGAAAUCCCUGAGCUUAACUUAGGAAUUGCAUUCGAUACUGGGAAGCUAGAGUAUGGGAGAGGAUGGUAGAAUUCCAGGUGUAGCGGUGAAAUGCGUAGAGAUCUGGAGGAAUACCGAUGGCGAAGGCAGCCAUCUGGCCUAAUACUGACGCUGAGGUACGAAAGCAUGGGGAGCAAACAGGAUUAGAUACCCCGGUAGUCCCUGUCUCUUAUAC
rnacentral:rRNA from 1 species